CGGCUUUAUCACAUUAAAACACCAGUUCCCGUACGUUCACCGGAGUUAAGCAAAAUAGAACCUGGUCAUUAUUUAGAUGGGUGACCGCUUCGAAGUACCAGGUGCAGUAA